rnacentral:rRNA from 1 species
CCUACGGGAGACAGCAGUGGGGAAUAUUGCACAAUGGGGGAAACCCUGAUGCAGCGACGCCGCGUGAGCGAUGACGUAUUUCUGUAUGUAAAGCUCUAUCAGCAGGGAAGAAAAUUGCGGUACCUGCCUAAUACGCCCCGGCUAACUACGUUCCAGCAGCCGCGGUACUACGUCGGGGGCCAGCGUUAUCCGGAUUUACUGGGUGUAAAGGGAGCGUAGACGGCGAUGCAAGCCAGAUGUGAAAGCCCGGGGCUCAACCCCGGGACUGCAUUUGGAACUGUAUAGCUGGAGUGUCGGAGAGGCAGGCGGAAUUCCUAGUGUAGCGGUGAAAUGCGUAGAUAUUAGGAGGAACACCAGUGGCGAAGGCGGCCUGCUGGACGAUGACUGACGUUGAGGCUCGAAAGCGUGGGGAGCAAACAGGAUUAGAUACCCGAGUAGUC